UCGAACAGGGCGGUGCCUUGACGGUACCUAACCAGAAAGCCACGGCUAACUACGUGCCAGCAGCCGCGGUAAUACGUAGGUGGCAAGCGUUGUCCGGAAUUAUUGGGCGUAAAGCGCGCGCAGGCGGUUUCUUAAGUCUGAUGUGAAAGCCCCCGGCUCAACCGGGGAGGGUCAUUGGAAACUGGGGAACUUGAGUGCAGAAGAGGAGAGUGGAAUUCCACGUGUAGCGGUGAAAUGCGUAGAGAUGUGGAGGAACACCAGUGGCGAAGGCGACUCUCUGGUCUGUAACUGACGCUGAGGCGCGAAAGCGUGGGGAGCGAACAGGAUUAGAUACCCUGGUAGUCCACGCCGUAAACGAUGAGUGCUAAGUGUUAGAGGGUUUCCGCCCUUUAGUGCUGCAGCAAACGCAUUAAGCACUCCGCCUGGGGAGUACGGUCGCAAGACUGAAACUCAAAGGAAUUGACGGGGGCCCGCACAAGCGGUGGAGCAUGUGGUUUAAUUCGAAGCAACGCGAAGAACCUUACCAGGUCUUGACAUCCUCUGACACCCCUAGAGAUAGGGCUUCCCCUUCGGGGGCAGAGUGACAGGUGGUGCAUGGUUGUCGUCAGCUCGUGUCGUGAGAUGUUGGGUUAAGUCCCGCAACGAGCGCAACCCUUGAUCUUAGUUGCCAGCAUUCAGUUGGGCACUCUAAGGUGACUGCCGGUGACAAACCGGAGGAAGGUGGGGAUGACGUCAAAUCAUCAUGCCCCUUAUGACCUGGGCUACACACGUGCUACAAUGGGCAGAACAAAGGGCAGCGAAGCCGCGAGGCUAAGCCAAUCCCACAAAUCUGCUCUCAGUUCGGAUCGCAGUCUGCAACUCGAC
rnacentral:rRNA from 1 species